UUGCGCCCGAAGCCAUUAGGCUGAGGGCACGUCUGCCUGGGCGUCACACGUCGUUGCCCCCCCCAACCCCCUUGGGAGUUGGAUGGGACGGAUGAUGGCCUCCCGUGUGCUCAGUCACGCGGUUGGCAUAAAUACCAAGUCCUCGGCGACCAACGCCACGACAAUCGGUGGUUGUCAAACCUCGGUUUCCUGUCGUGCGCGUGUGUUGAUCGAGUGCUUUCUUAAACAAUGCGUGUCGAUCCGUCGAUGCUUUCAACGCGACCCCAGGUCAGGCGGGGUUACCCGCUGAAUUUAAGCAUAUCAAA
rnacentral:rRNA from 1 species